rnacentral:lncRNA from 10 species
CUCAGCCUCCCGAGUAGCUGGGACUAUGCGCGCCUGCCACCAUACCCGGCUAAUUUUUUGUAUUUUUAGUAGAGACGGGGUUUCACUGUGUUAGCCAGGAUGGUCUCGAUCUCCUGACCUCGUGAUCCGCCCGCCUUGGCCUCCCAAAGUGCUAGGAUUACAGGUGUAGCCACCUUGCCCUGCCAGCCAUUCUGUUUUUGUCUCCACAUGGUCUUGUUGGAAGAUUUCCUAUCCUUGGUUUGAGCCCAGCUACACAUUAACUCUCUGGGUUUGUCUGUCUGCGUCGGAGGAGGGGAGGGCAGUGUCCUUGAGUCUACUCAGCCAAUUGUCCAUGCAUCUUUGGGGACCGUCCUGGUCCCGAGCCUGCCAUCCGAAAGAGGGUGCAAAGCUGCCGCUGGUGCCACCAGGGAGGUCUGAGGACGUAUUCUGGCACCCAGCCACAUUUACAGAGCACCUGCUGUGUACAGGGGGGACUCUUUGUCAAGGCCCUGCUGUCUCCGGGCCAGCUGCCUCCUGGGGCUGCACGGUCUGGAAGGACCUCCCCAGGCAGGUGGCAUUUGAAUUGAGAAAUAAAUGAGACAGCCAUGAGGCUCUGCAGAAGCAGCAGCUUGUGCCGAGGCCCUGGGGCACGCUCAGGAGAUCUAGGAACAGAAAGGAAGCACGGCAGCUGGAGGAGGGGGCCGGAGAGCCGGGAGGCCAGGGCGGGCAGUGCAGGGCGUCCAGUCUGGCUCUAACUCUUCGGGCCAGGAGCCCCUGGAGGGUUUCAGCAGGAGGCCAGACUAGAGCCCAGGUCUCCUGGCUCCCAGCUGGGUGCCCUCAGUCCGUCUACUUCCUGUAGGGAGUGCGGGGCAGGCAGGGUGAGUCUCACGGGGCAGCUCUGGGGAGAGCUGUCUGAACUGACCCACCGACUUCUUGGCCGCUGACUCGAAGCAGGCGGUCACUUUCCUGGGCACAGGACAGGCUGCAGGGCCCCGUCCUCCAGCCCUCCCACCCUGAGGUCUCUGCUCCCACUCCAGCUGCCACGCACCCUCCAGACAACAGGGAGGGCGCUCAGAGCCCCAGGGGAGUGGUGGC